rnacentral:rRNA from 1 species
AGUGAACGCUGGCGGUAUGCCUAACACAUGCAAGUCGAACGGCAGCACAGUAAGUUCUUUCUCUUACUGGUUGCCAGUGGCGUACGUGUGACGAAUACAUCGUAAUCUACUUUUUCGUGGGACUUAACGUAGCGAAACUUACUCUCAUACCGCAUACGACCUACCGUUGUAAGCACGUGAUCUUCGGACCUUGCUCGCUUCAAUGUGCAGAUGUCUUAUUUGCUAGUUGUGGGGGUAAAGGCCCACCAAGGCGACGAUCCGUAGCUGGUCUGAGAGGAUGAUCAGCAACACUGGAACGGAGAAACGGUCCAGACUCCUAGGGGAGGAAGAAGUGGGGAAUAUUGGAAAAUGGGGGAAAGCCUGAUCAAGAAAGACCGCGUGGGGGAAGAAGGCCUUCGGGUGGUAAAGCCCGUUUGUUGGGAAAGAAAAGCAGGAGGUUAAUAAGCCGAUGUUGUGACGGUACCUAAAGAAUAAGCACCGGCUAACUUCGUG